GCUGCUGUGGCUCAGCAGGUAGAGCACGUCCUUGGUAAGGACGAGGUCGGCGGUUCAAAUCCGCUCAGCAGCUCCA
rnacentral:tRNA from 1 species